UACGUAGGGUGCGAGCGUUAAUCGGAUUUACUGGGUUUAAAGGGUGCGCAGGCGGUUGUUUAAGUCAGGGGUGAAAGCCCUAUGCUCAACAUAGGGAUUGCCUUUGAUACUGAACGGCUAGAGUGAAGAUGGAGUGGGUGGAAUGUGUUGUGUAGCGGUGAAAUGCAUAGAUAUAACACAGAACACCGAUCGCGAAGGCAGCUCACUAAUUUUCAACUGACGCUCAUGCACGAAAGCGUGGGGAUCAAACAGG
rnacentral:rRNA from 1 species